UGGAAAAACUGAUUCCAGGAGGGGCUGU
rnacentral:piRNA from 1 species